CAAAGAAUAGUUUAAGCAGAAUCCCAGCUUUGGGAGUUGGGGGUAGGGGUUAAAGCCCCUUUUCUUUGA
rnacentral:tRNA from 1 species